CCGUCGAUUUGCGAAUGUUCACUGCCAUUUAAUGUAUUAGUG
rnacentral:SRP_RNA from 1 species